CCGCUGCCCUCUCCCUUGCCGGAUGCCUCACCCGCUGCCCCUCGCCCCAUCGUCGUCACCGCUGCUCCCCUCUGCCGUCGCUGCCUCUCAGCCCACCACGGGCGACCGCACCUCCCCCUCGACCGCCGCACCGUGCCUCUCGCCGACGGUGAGUAGGUGGACUGCGCCUGACACCACCAUGCCCAGUGCUCUUCGAGCCUUCAACAAGACAUAUGAUUCCUUAUUUCUACUUGUAUUUUAUUUUUCGUCCUCUAUGUGGGGGUCGCCUUCCUGGAGUUUAGGAGGAGAUGGAUUUGGAGUCAGUCAACCUAGAGCUCGCUGAGAUUGAUGGCCAGAUUGAUGACAUCCUCCCUGCAUUGCUGUACGAUCCAACCAUUCUGCCUCCCCCUACAUGUAUCUCCAUUUUCAGUUUCAGACUUCAAUCAUUUCUGGUAUACGAUAUGAUGAUCCAUGUAUUGGUUAGUGGUUCUCUUCCUUGCUUGUCGUAGCAUGUAAUGCCGGCUGUGAAAUGAAAUCCUGGAAAUUAGACGGUUCACUUGC
rnacentral:lncRNA from 1 species